rnacentral:rRNA from 1 species
GCACAAGCGGUGGAGCAUGUGGUUUAAUUCGACGCAACGCGAAGAGCCUUACCUGGGCUCGAAAUGUAGUGGAAUCUGGCAGAAACGUCGGCGUCUAGCAAUAGACCGCUAUAUAGGUGCUGCAUGGCUGUCGUCAGCUCGUGUCGUGAGAUGUUGGGUUAAGUCCCGCAACGAGCGCAACCCUUAUCUUCAGUUGCUACCAUUUAGUUGAGCACUCUGACGAAACCGCCUCGGAUAACGGGGAGGAAGGUGGGGAUGACGUCAAGUCCUCAUGGCCUUUAUGUCCAGGGCUACACACGUGCUACAAUGGCCGGUACAAACCGCUGCAAACCCGCGAGGGGGAGCUAAUCGGAAAAAGCCGGCCUCAGUUCGGAUUGGAGUCUGCAACUCGACUCCAUGAAGCUGGAAUCGCUAGUAAUCGUGGAUCAGCAUGCCACGGUGAAUACGUUCCCGGGC